GAUGAACGCUGGCGGCGUGCCUAACACAUGCAAGUCGAGCGAUUUACUUCGGUAAAGAGCGGCGGACGGGUGAGUAACUCUGGGGUAACCUGCCCUGUACACACGGAUAACAUACCGAAAGGUAUGCUAAUGCGAGAUAAUAUGCUAUUAUGCCAUGGUAGAAGUAUCAAAGCUCCGGCGGUACAGGAUGGACCCGCGUCUGAUUAGCUAGUUGGUAAGGUAACGGCUUACCAAGGCGACGAUCAGUAGACGACCUGAGAGGAUGAUCGGCCACAUUGGAACUGAGACACCACAAAAACUCCUACGGGAGGCAGCAGUGGCAAAGAUUGCACAAUGGGCGAAAGCCUGAUGCAGCAACGCCGCGAGAGACAGGAAGACCUUCGGGUCGUAAAGCGAGGGACUCAAGGAAGAUGAUGACGGUACUUGAGGAGGAAGCCCCGGCUAACUACGUGCCAGCCGCCGCAGUAA
rnacentral:rRNA from 1 species